AACGAACGCUGGCGGCAGGCUUAACACAUGCAAGUCGAACGGGUGUAGCAAUACAUCAGUGGCAGACGGGUGAGUAACACGUGGGAACCUUCCUAGGGGUACGGAACAACUCAGGGAAACUUGAGCUAAUACCGUAUACGUCCGUGAGGAGAAAGAUUUAUCGCCCUUAGACGGGCCCGCGUCGGAUUAGGUAGUUGGUGGGGUAACGGCCUACCAAGCCUACGAUCCGUAGAUGAUCUUAGAGGAUGAUCAGCCACACUGGGACUGAGAAACGGCCCAGAAUCCUACGGGAGGCAACAGUGGGGAAUCUUGGACAAUGGGCGCAAGCCUGAUCCAGCCAUGCCGCGUGAGUGAAGAAGGCCUUAGGGUUGUAAAGCUCUUUUACCAGGAAGGAUAAUGACGGUACCUGGAGAAUAAGCCCCGGCAAACUUCGUGCCAGCAGCCGCCGUAACAC
rnacentral:rRNA from 1 species